GAAAAGAACUUUGAAAAGAGAGUUAAAUAGUACGUGAAAUUGUUGAAAGGGAAACGAUUGAAGUCAGUCGUACCGGCGGGAAAUCAACCUUUUCGAGUGGGGAUCGUAAGUGGCGAGGAGCCUCGCGCCCUCGUUGCUUACGAUCCCCUGCUCUUGGGGCGUACUUUUCCGUAUGGUAGGUCAGCAUCGAUUUUGACCGUCAUAAAAUGAUCGGAGGAAUGUAGUUUCGACCUCGGUUGAAGUGUUAUAGCCUUUGGUAGAUGUGGUGUUUGGGAUCGAGGAUUGCAACGAAUACCCUUUUGGGCUAUCCGUCUGACCUCUGAUGGUUAGCUGGGUGCCGAAAGCUUGCUUACGGUUAUUUAAGUUGACAGUCAAAAGGCUAGAACGUGAUUAUAUUCGU
rnacentral:rRNA from 1 species